rnacentral:tmRNA from 1 species
GGAACGUAAUGGUUUCGACAGGGUUGUUGAACAGAGGUAAGCGAGCCGUAGUCGCCAAGUCUACGUAAAAAGUGGCAACUUAAAUAUAAACGCUAGAAAUAAUAGCAAUUUCGCACUGGCUGCUUAAUUCAGCCCGCGGGUCGGCCCGAUUCACCUGCAGAUCGGUAAACCGGCCUCAUAUAUGCAGGAAACUCCUGAGUGAAAGCCCGGAAGCUCAGGAACAUUACGGGAUAGCUUGACUGCAGUUUGCUGACAGACGGCAGGAAAGGUGAAAAUUAAACUAUCAGCUGCGCUCGGAGAAAAUCUCCCGGAUACAUUCUUGGACGUGGGUUCGACUCCCACCGUUUCCACCA